GGGGAGGGGGAAAAACAGAGACAAAAAGAAAGAGAGAUAGACGGAACAGACCCCUCUUCGACAGAGAACCCUAGCGCCGCCCCUAUCUCACUCUCAUUCUUUCACUCCCACACCCUCCUCUCAUCACACACGCGAAAAGGCACUCAAUAUAGGCUAGAAACAAAACUUUCAAAAGCUCAGAAUUCUUAAAGUGCUAUUUGAAGUUUCGAAAAAAAGGAAAUUAGCUAAAAAAUACAUAGAAAAGCUUCAACAAAGGAUUGAGAUCGGAAAUUAAAAAAAAACAGUAAUGAAAGGGAAUUUCAAAAUAAUUCUAUCUCCUACUGUUCACUCUGCAUCUCCUGGGCUAUCAACACCUCGAGAGUUGUUGUGGGUUUUUUGAGCUUUUCCGAUCUUAGUCGUCGGUUCGAGUUCUUGUCGCAGUUCGACUUGCCGUUUCUGAAAUUUUAAAGCUCCGGUGGAACUUCUAAUAUUAUUGAAGAGAAUUGUUCAAUAAAAGCAUGCAGGUUCUUGUAAGUGACCCUCCUUAGCCUCGUCACUACUUCGUCGAGGUUAGGCUCGGCACUUACAGAGUACAUGGGGUCAGUUGUACUCAUACUACACUCUGCACUUCUUGUGCAGAUUUUAGAGUCGGUCACAUCGGUGGUCAGCAGAUUGCUUGGAUAUGGUGCUUGACGGAGACUUGAGAUACAACUGUACGGUGUUCGCAAGCCUGAAGUCCCCUUCUACAUUAUUCUAGCAAUUUAUUUCAUUGCAGAUAGUUAUGCUUUUAUUUAGACUGUUAUUUGUAAUACUCUAGUCACUCGUGCACUUGUGACACCAGUUUUGAUAUUGUAUCUCGAUAUCGCUGUUAUUUUAGCUUA